CAGCAGCCGCGGUAAUACGUAGGUGGCAAGCGUUGUCCGGAAUUAUUGGGCGUAAAGGGCUCGCAGGCGGUUUCUUAAGUCUGAUGUGAAAGCCCCCGGCUCAACCGGGGAGGGUCAUUGGAAACUGGGAAACUUGAGUGCAGAAGAGGAGAGUGGAACUCCACGUGUAGCGGUGAAAUGUGUAGAGGUGUGGAGGAACACCAGUGGCGAAGGCGACUCUCUGGUCUGUAACUGACGCUGAGGAGCGAAAGCGUGGGGAGCGAACAGGAUUAGAUACCCCUGUAGUCCCUGUCUCUUAUAC
rnacentral:rRNA from 1 species